rnacentral:rRNA from 1 species
GGCGUGUACUGCUUGGCUGGGCCUUACUUCUUGGUGAGCCGGCGUGCCCUUUAUUGGUGUGCGUCGGGGAACCAGGACUUUUACCUUGAGAAAAUUAGAGUGUUCAAAGCAGGCCUAUGCCUGAAUACAUUAGCAUGGAAUAAUAGAAUAGGACGUGCGGUUCUAUUUUGUUGGUUUCUAGAGUCGCCGUAAUGAUUAAUAGGGACAGUUGGGGGCAUUGGUAUUGAGUCGCUAGAGGUGAAAUUCUUGGAUUGACUCAAGACCGACUAUUGCGAAAGCAUUUGCCAAGGAUGUUUUCAUUAAUCAAGAACGAAGGUUAGGGGAUCGAAAACGAUCAGAUACCGUUGUAGUCUUAACAGUAAACUAUGCCGACUAGGGAUCGGAUGACCUCAAAAUUGAUGUGUCAUUCGGCACCUUACGAGAAAUCAAAGUCUUUGGGUUCUGGGGGGAGUGUGGUCGCAAGGCUGAAACUUAAAGGAAUUGACGGAAGGGCACCACCAGGUGUGGAGCCUGCGGCUUAAUUUGACUCAACACGGGGAAACUCACCAGGUCCAGACAUAACUAGGAUUGACAGAUUGAUAGCUCUUUCAUGAUUUUAUGGGUGGUGGUGCAUGGCCGUUCUUAGUUGGUGGAGUGAUUUGUCUGGUUAAUUCCGAUAACGAACGAGACCUUAACCUGCUAAAUAGCCAGGCCGGCUUCGGCUGGUCUCUGGCUUCUUAGAGGGACUGUCAG